rnacentral:rRNA from 1 species
AGUGAACGCUGGCGGCGUGCUUAAUACAUGCAAGUCGAACGAUGAAGUCCUAGCUUGCUAGGAUGGAUUAGUGGCGCACGGGUGAGUAAUAUAUAGUUAAUCUGCCUUGCACUGAGGAACAACAGUUGGAAACGAUUGCUAAUACCUCAUACUCCAACUUUACAUAAGUUAAGUUGGGAAAGUCUUUUCGGUGCAAGAUGAGACUAUAUCGUAUCAGCUAGUUGGUAAGGUAAUGGCUUACCAAGGCUAUGACGCGUAACUGGUCUGAGAGGAUGAUCAGUCACAUUGGAAAUGAGACACCGUCCAAACUCCUACGGGAGGCAACAGGAAGGAAUAUUGUGCAAUGGGGGAAACCCUGACGCAGCAACGCCGCGUGGAGGAUGACACUUUUCGGAGCGUAAACUCCUUUUGUUAGGGAAGAAUAAUGACGGUACCUAACGAAUAAGCACCGGCUAACUCCGUG